rnacentral:ncRNA from 1 species
GGCCACAGGGGCUGAAUCCCCUGGGUUGUCACCAGAACGUUCGCAGUCGGGCGUUUCAUACCCAGGAACUGACGCAAGGCGUUGGGGAGCGGGUCUACAAGGUGGAGCACUUCUGGGUGA